CCUACGGGGGGCAGCAGUGAGGAAUGUUGGUCAAUGAGCGCGAGCCUGAACCAGCCAAGUAGCGUGAAGGAUGACUGCCCUACGGGUUGUAAACUUCUUUUAUAAAGGAAUAAAGUGAGGCACGUGUGCCUUUUUGUAUGUACUUUAUGAAUAAGGAUCGGCUAACUCCGUGCCAGCCGCCGCGGUAAUACGGAGGAUCCGAGCGUUAUCCGGAUUUAUUUGGUUUAAAGGGAGCGUAGAUGGGUUGUUAAGUCAGUUGUGAAAGUUUGCGGCUCAACCGCAAAAUUGCAAUUGAUACUGGCAGCCUUGAGUACAGUCGAGGUAGGCGGAAUUCGUGGUGUAGCGGUGAAAUGCUUAGAUAGAACGAAGAACUCCGAUUGCGAAGGCAGCCUACUAAACUGCCACUGACAUUGAUGCUCGAAAGUGUGGGUAUCAAACAGGAUUAGAUACCCGUGUAGUC
rnacentral:rRNA from 1 species